CAGUCGCCGCGGUAAUACGAAGGGGGCUAGCGUUGCUCGGAAUGACUGGGCGUAAAGGGCGCGUAGGCGGCGGCCAAAGUCAGGCGUGAAAUUCCCGGGCUCAACCCGGGGGCUGCGUUUGAUACUUGGUUGCUUGAGUGGGGAAGAGGGUCGUGGAAUUCCCAGUGUAGAGGUGAAAUUCGUAGAUAUUGGGAAGAACACCGGUGGCGAAGGCGGCGACCUGGUCCUCUACUGACGCUGAGGCGCGAAAGCGUGGGGAGCAAACAGGAUUAGAUACCCCCGUAGUCCCUGUCUCUUAUAC
rnacentral:rRNA from 1 species